rnacentral:rRNA from 1 species
CCUACGGGGGACUGCAGUGGGGGAUAUUGCACAAUGGGGGGAACCCUGAUGCAGCGACGCCGCGUGUGGGAAGACGGUCCUCUGGAUUGUAAACCACUGUCCCCAGGGACGAAAAUGACGGUACCUGGGGAGGAAGCUCCGGCUAACUACGUGCCAGCAGCCGCGGUAAUACGUAGGGAGCGAGCGUUGUCCGGAAUUACUGGGUGUAAAGGGAGCGUAGGCGGGGAUGCAAGUUGGGUGUAAAAACUACCGGCUCAACUGGUAGUCGCACUCAAAACUGCAGCUCUUGAGUGAAGUAGAGGCAGGCGGAAUUCCUAGUGUAGCAGUGAAAUGCGUAGAUAUUAGGAGGAACACCAGUGGCGAAGGCGGCCUGCUGGGCUUUUACUGACGCUGAGGCUCGAAAGUGUGGGGAGCAAACAGGAUUAGAUACCCCUGUAGUC